UCAUAGAUCUCAUGGCUGACUGCCUGGCC
rnacentral:piRNA from 1 species